CGAACACGCACAGCAGACACUCAUCCAUUUUUAAAAAAUUAAUUAAACGAAAAGUACACUUAUACCAGAUUAAAACCACUCGAAUUGGUGGCCACCUGAUGACGCACCAUGUUAUGGAGUCGCAAUAAGGUUGUUUGCAGCAGUCCGGGCCUCCUCCCAGCGGUCUUGACAUUGACUCCUGUUCUGUGUAUGGCACUGGUAGAAUUCACUGUGAGAGCUGACUAUCAGUGAAUUACCAUAGGGCCAUAAACAGAGCAGAGAAAGAACCACUUUGGCUGGCCGUGUACUCAGUCCCUGUCAAAUGAGUGAGUGGCUGUUGGUGGUGAAGGGCGAGGUGACGCUGGGUUCUUCCCCUGCACACCACAGCCUCAUAGCCCCCUGCUUUCCAGGAGGACAGUGAACACAACGCGCAACACAAGAGCAGUGAAGGUAAAAAACGACAACUUUGUUUUUCAAGUAGAAUCUCUGAGAUGGUUAAAUGAAGUCAUUAUUUUGUCAUUAUAGUUGGAACAGUACCAACUAAAAUUCAAAGUCUGUUCUGACAAAAUAAUGUAAGGAAAAAUCAGACAAUUAGGGUGGGAUUUAAAAUAAUUUGAAAUAAAAAAUGUUUACGUAAAUCGCAUAUUGUAUUGUAACCCUUUAAACAACAGAUAUUUGAACAAAUUACUAAUUCUUAAGCAUAUUUGUUUCAUCCUCUGUGUAGAAUUACUCAUUACUGCAGCUUGCUGAGUCGCUUAGUGUAGUGGUGAAAGUCUUCAUUUGUGUACUUGUGACUGUAAUUUACUGCCCCCAGUGGCCAAGUUAAACCCGCUUGAAUGAUUCACAAUGAAUUUUGUUGUACCAAGUGUUUAAUUCGUAUUCUAUUUGUUAUUACUGUAUGUUUCAUAAAGAAAAUAUUUUAAAGUACAUUUUUAAAUUGUAAAACAUGAUGCAAGAAUUUGGAUUGGUUUUUUUGAGGGCACUGGAACAGAUUAAGGACAUCUCCAAUCAUUUCAAUGGGAAAACAUGUUUUGGGUUAAGAACAUGGGUGGUUACAAAUUGUAUCUGAAGGCACCACCGUAUCAGAAUUAGAAAACAUAGUUUUAAAACAAAAAUUGUCAAUAUUUUUUUGAUUUGUAAUAUUCUGUUAAUGUCGGAGAAUACGCAAUUUCUCUGCAAAAUUCUGCUCCAAUGCAACACACCUAAGUGUGUGGCAUGCGUAUGGUUUCCAUGGUUACACGAGAUAGGCGAAGGAUAGGAAAUUGAACCUUUUUAAUGAGUACAUGCGAGUACAACGUGAUCAAACAGCAGCGUGGCCCCCUGCUUCUUGCCUCUGUUAGCUCUGUGGCAUAAUCGGCCAAGGGUACGGUGUCAUCUUACCCUUCCCCUUUCAUUGCGGCCUUCCCCGCCCUCCUCAACCCCCUCCGCCUCCUUUCCAAAGAAAAGAGUGGCUUUCUCAAAGCUGUCACGGUGGUCAGCGCCAUGAACAGUUGAAGGACCUAUAGUACAAGCAUAGAUCUGGGUCAGGCUCUGUUAAUGUAGGUGACAGCGGGAUGUGCGGAUUAAACCUUCUUUAUCUGCCUGUGUAUAAAUCCCAAGCUUUAUAGGCUCCACUUCCCAUUCGGCUAAUAUUAUUUGGAUU